ensembl:lncRNA LINC00467 long intergenic non-protein coding RNA 467
GCGGUCGGGCGUUGGGUUUCGCGGCGCUCGCCGCACUGGUUGUUCAGCACCUUCGGUCCGGUUGAGGUUGUCAAGUCGGACCAAACAGGUUGUUUCUCUGCAGUUUCCAAGACAGGGUCUCACUAUGUUGCCCAGGCUGGUCUUGAACUCCUGGCUUCAAGCAGUCCUCCCACCUUGGCCUCCCAAAGUGCUGGGAUUACAGUUACGAAAGAUGAGUAUUUAGUACUCCAUUUGUGCUGUUUUCCUUUUGUGGUAUCAUUCAGCCUUGUGGCUUCAAACAUUGUACUGAAGAUUCUCAGACUUAUUACUACAUGGCAGGGAGGUUUAAUAGACAUGGAUAAGAAGUCCACUCACAGAAAUCCUGAAGAUGCCAGGGCUGGCAAAUAUGAAGGUAAACACAAACGAAAGAAAAGAAGAAAGCAAAACCAAAACCAGCACCGAUCCCGACAUAGAUCAGUGACGUCUUUUUCUUCAGAUGAUCCUAUGUUUCCUUCUUCCUCAUCAUCGUCUUCAGGAAGCCAGACAGAUUCAAGUAUUGAAGAUGCUGCCAAGGGAAAAAUUAAGAAGAAGAGAAGAGAGAAAACAAAUAAAUGGGAAAAAAGAAAGGACAAAAUAUGAAACACCAAGAAAAAGAGAAGGAAAAAAAGGAGGAAACAACCACAUAUGUCACCUUUCCAAGAGGGACUGAAACUGGGCUGACCCUUUUGAUUUCCAAGCUCAGCGUUUUGGUGUAAGGCGGCCAAAGAAGGAUGCGGAGCCCAGCACUGUGAAGCCUACAAAAACAUUGAUGCGCUGGCUUGGGGAUUUGAAUUUGAACAUCUUUCACACUAAGUUCAGACUCAUGAAACCAAUCUUCAGAUGCUCUGUAAACCACAUAAUAAAGAGUUUGGAAAUUAUA